rnacentral:rRNA from 1 species
UGUAAGCGUAUACCAAAGUUGUUGCAAUUAAAACGCUCGUAGUCGGAAUUUGGCAGUUCCGGAUGUGUGCACGUCGUGUGCGCACUUCGCGGGGAUUGCUUUUGUGGUCUUGCGUAGGAUGAGGCACUUUUAUUAGUGAACGUCCUCACGCAACCACUUUUUACUGUGAGAAAAUCAGAGUGCUCAAAGCAGGCAUUUGCCGUGAAUGUAUUAGCAUGGAAUAAUAGAAUAGGACUUGGUUCUAUUUUGUUGGUUUGUUGGGACUGAGUAAUGAUUAAGAGGGACAGUUGGGGGCAUUUGUAUUUCGGUGCUAGAGGUGAAAUUCUUAGAUUACCGAAAGACAAACUGCUGCGAAAGCGUCUGCCAAGGAUGUUUUCAUUGA